rnacentral:lncRNA from 1 species
CUCGGCAUCCGUGUCACGGCUCGCCAACACAAACAGCUGUGGGUCGAAGACACCAGUAGCCCCACUGCCAGCAGGGCCGCCGGCGCACACGUAGGUGCCGAGGUCACCGCGAUAGAUGCAGCCACUGCCCGAAGGCAUCGCCGGCGCCUGUGCCAGCGGCUGAGGUCGCGGGCCAUCUGGUAACGCGCCCAGCACUGUGACCGGGCCGCCCGCAGGCGAAACCCCCAGAGAACCGUCCAGGUCUUUGAAGAGGGCCCGUGAAGGGCCCGCGCAGUUGAGGGGCAGGGGCGUUCCGCCGGCAGUGUAGUUGGCAGUGCCGCAGUCGAGCGGGUUCCGCCAAGCCGGGUCGGGUCCCCGCAUGAGGAACAGGCCUUGGGAAGACCUGUAAGUUGGUCAUUUGCAAAGCCAGACACGGUCAGUUUGCCGCAUCAGUGUAAACACAAACGACGCAAUGUGCAAGCAAACUUAAAACCAGCGUACCCGUCCGUCCUGGUGUUGGCGAGCGUGAUGCGCCGGAGGAAGUGUGGGUGCGAGGCGUCGGGCGCGGUGGGGUUGUUGGCGAAGGCAAAGCUGCCGCCACCGCACCCACUGGCGCCCUCAAAGUCAGCCACUGUGACGCCCGUGAUGUUAGCGUGGCCAAAUACCGUGGGGUAGCCACGCACGGCAUCCCACGUGGAUCCCCCGUCGGGCCCAACAGAGAAGCCCAAUGCAAACGCCGCCGCCACAAAGCCAACCGAAGGCGUGUACGGCAGGGCGCGGUUGUACGACUGGGGCGUCAGGCGCUGGUGGCAGCCCGCGUCAGACGGGCUCGCGCACAGCGCGCACAGCACCGGUGACGUGCGCCCUGCAAGCAGCCCGCCGCGCCAGGACACGCCCGCGCGCUCCGUGAAGCCGCCCUGCCGCAGCAGCGCCGCGCCGGCGUGUCGGUUGUCCAGCAAUGCAACGUCGUACAUCCGCACGUCCGUGUCGAUGCCGCGCAGCGUGAGCAGGCCAUAAUCCCAGUUGGUGUGCGCCGUGAAGUUGGAGAGCGCGGUGCAGCCCACACCACUGGAUGCGACACUGGCGCGAAGCCAUGCGCCCACAAGACACGAGUGCGCCGUGUUGUUUUGGAACGAGCCACGCGUCCACGCGACGGGUCCCACAUCCCAAGGCUCGGAGGGAGGCGACUGUGGAGGGGGCGCAGGCGGUGGCAGCCGGGUCGGCACCGGCGCAGGGGCCGCCGAGGGCGGCGGGAUGGCAGGCGGAAGCGGGCCCGGUGCUGGCACGGACGGCGCGCGUGGAGGCGACGGCGACGUUGUUGGUGGAGUUCGGAUCGGCGGCCGGGAGGCGGGUGGCGAUGCAGAUGGUGGCGCUGAGGGCUGAGUGCACGGCAUGCCCUGAUACACAAAGCCAAAGCGGUCGGAGCCUGCCGCUACGUUUCCCUCAACCCAGUUCGCUGACUGGGAGAGCAGGAAGUUUGCGGGCGACACCGAGGCCGGGCCGGAGGUAGCGCCGGCAGCCGUGCUGUUGCUGUUGGCGGUUCUGUUGGUUGCUGCAAUCGCGCCCAGUGCAAGGUUGUUGUAGAGGUGGUUGCCCGUUGUCAGCAGCUGGACGUUGGAGACGGCAUAGGAGCCGUACAAUACGUUGCCGUACAGCUCGACACGAACCGUGGGACUCUGGCUCCCCAGCACUGCCACGUUGCCUCCCACGCCCGCCACGAUUGCCGAAUCGUACAUGUACGAUUGGCUGCUGCUGAUGUCAGAUUCACAGCUGGUGCUACUGCCAUCGCUGCUUCCGUCGCUGCAGCGGCUACUGCCGUCGCUGUCGUCGCCAUUUGCCGGCGCAGGCCUGGGUGAGAGGCUUUGGAACAGCACGCAAGGCCGCUGCUCCUGGCCCACAGCCGCCAACUGCCCGCAGCGCUCCACCACCACGUUGGUUAGCUGUGCCGAGCCGGUACCAACCACCAGCAGGCGGGCGCCGUACGGUACGGCAGCGGUUGACGGGCCGUCAUUGGCUCCGGGGCUGCCGUACAGGCGGUUGAGAUCCAGGGACGGUUCCGAUGCCAGAGGCUGCGUACCGUUGGCGGCGGUGAUGGUGGCGUAAGCCUCCGCCGCCGCGAUGCCCACGUUUGAGGACAGCAGCGCCACCUCUGCGCGCAGGUCCACGGACAGCGUGGCAUUGCCACUGCUGCUACUGCCACCACUGCCGCUGCUGCUACUGCCGUUGCCACUGACGGGGUAGCUGCGGCCGCGCGCGGCGUGAGGGUGGCGGAGCGGCGAGUCCAGGACCAGCGCAGUCAGGUUUCCUGCACCCGCCGUGCUGUCCGCGGGCUGCGCCACGACUCCCGUGAUGCGCCGGACUUCCGUCUGGUACUGAUUGUACGACGUGGAUGCGAUCAUGACGCGAUCCCCGACCUGGAUUCCACGUAGCUCGCCGGACGGAGAUCCUGAGAUCCGAACGGACGUGUCGCCGGGCGCUGCCGCCCGGGCCAGCCGCAUCCAGCGGCGGGUGACCGACCGGCCGUGUAGACUCAGCCGGCCGCCGGCCGCCACCAGCAGGACCUGCAAGUGGAGAGGCGAAUAGAUAAAUUUGCACACACGCUUGCCAGAAUGCUCCUUCCCAGAAGAUGUGCAUGUGUGGGAAUGCAUGAGCGCAGGACCGGUGUCGAUUCGCCCCGACGGUCAUCAUAACAGCCCUGAUGGUGGCCGGAUUGCCGACGCCGCCGCACCUUGCUGCCGAUGUUGCUCCCAGCAGGGUAGCCGGGCCCGGCCAUAGCUGCUUCCAAGGGCGGCAAUAUGAAGCCCUGAUCGCUGGGCGAGCCGGUCAGCAGCACGCGCGCCACUGUGGGGUGCGGCGAGGCCGUGCUCCCAGCUGCCAACAGACCCUGGGUUGGAACAUGGGUUGCGUGGUGUGUGUGUCGAGGCGUGUACUUAGUUGGGUACAGACACAGAGGCACUUGCAGCGGUAUGAGGCGUGACAGCAUCUGUGCCAGCAAGGCGCGACACGUGCUACCAAGUGCUGCUGCUGCUAGCUGUUGAGCGGCCAGGAAUACAAAACUCACCCCUGCCAGCACCAUCACUGCGGCGGCGGUGAGGGUGAUGUCCUGCAGGGGGUCAAACCGCAGCGACCCAAGCACCACCAGCGACCCAAGGGCCGGCGGGCUCUCGUCCAGCAGCAGCGCCCAGCCCGCCGGGACCGUCACGUUGGCGCCGGGGCCGGGUUUGCCGCCUGUCACGUUCGCCCAGGUCGUGUCUCGUGACCAGCGAAGGAACGGGUCUGGCGGCGGCGGGCUGGGCGCUGGAGGCGGAGACGGAGGCUGAGGAGGCUCAGGGCUGGGUGGAGCAGGAGACGGUGGCGCCGGGCUUGGCGGAGGGGAGGGCGGGAGUGGGGAAGGGGGAGCGGGGGAAGGAGGGUCAGGCGACGGCGGCACGGGGCUUGGAGGAGCAGGAGAAGGCGGUGCUGGGCUGGGUGGCUCGGGCAAAGGCGGGCCAGGGCUGGGCGGCGCGGGGGAUGGUGGCGCUGGGCUUGGGGGCACAGGGCUCGGUGGGGGAGACGAUGGCGGCUUCGGGUUCGGCGGGACAGGCGAAGGUGGCGCGGGGCUGGGCGGGGCCGGUGACGGUGGCGCCGGGCUGGGAGGGGCUGGCGAAGGCGGGCCAGGCGCGGGGGAUGGGGGCGCCGGGCUCGGAGGCAUAGGGCUCGGUGGGAAAGGCGAUGGCGGCCGCGGGCUGGGUGGGUGCGGGGACGGCGGCCCAGGGCUGGGCGGGGCCGGGGACGGCGGCCCAGGGCUGGGCGGCGCGGGGCUGGGCGGCGCCGGGCUAGGGGGCGCCGGGCUGGGCGGCGGGCUGGGCGGCGGAAGCGGCGGCGCGGGAGGUGGCGGCAUGGGCGGCGGUGACGUGUUCGCCGCCACAAUGGCAGCCCGUAGCGUGGCGUCCAGGGCCCCGCGCGUGCCCGUGUUCGCCAGCCACGCCCCGUCGGCGCCUCCACACACGCCCGCUAGCACGGGACCGCCACUAAUUGCCAGGCCGUUCACGGCCGGCGUCGGCGGCCACGCCAGCAUCACCCAAGCCCGAUACAGAUCUGCCAGGUACGCUGACGUCAGCUGCACAGCCAACGCAGGUGCCGGGGGUGCCGGGGGUGGCGGCGUCCAGGACGCCAGCAGCCCACCUCCCGCGGCUGCCGCCGCCAUCGCCAGCUGCUGUGCCCAGCUGUAGUCAUCAUCAGUGCUGAGCGCUGCCGCCGCAGCGGCGGCGGUUGCGUUUGCCAAGGCUGCGGCCACCGCCGCAGCCUGUUGCUCCUCGUUUGCGUUGACGAGGCCAGACCAAAUGGUCGCUAGAAGUGCUCCUUGCGUCCCUGCGUCCAGGCCGCCUGCGGUGCUGCACCGGGCCGGCUGUGGGAAGGCGUCUGGCCGACUGAUGUUAGAAUCUGCGGCCGGCGGGUAGAUGUGCACAGCCACAGGCAGCGUGGCUUGGCCACCACUGGUGGCUGCGGUGGCUGCGCUUGCGUCUCCAGGGUAGAGCUGCUGGGGCAGGGGCAUGACCUCUAUGCGCAGGGGAUCCAGGCCGGCUGCGGUGGCAAGGGCGGAGGCAAGCGCCCGCCGCGCCGCAAGUGUCAUCGGGACCGAAGUGACGGUGGCGUUCAGGCGCACCUGGUGACAAGGAUAGAGCGUGACGGGGCACAGUUGUGAGGAACGAUUGGAGGAAGGUACAGAAUAUGCGGACAAACAACAUAAAGGGGCAAGCAUCAAGGCCUCAAGCAAAGGCAGUCGGCCGCCGAGGCUCACCGGCACAGCCGCCUCCGUGCGGACCUCCAGUGACCUGCCGCCGCCCACCAUCUUGACGACAAGCCGCCCGCCGUCCACAUCCCACCAGUACGACCCGUGGGGCGUACCGUCGUACGGCGCAGGCGGGCCAUAUGACAAACGCUGCCCCCGCCCGCCAGCACUGCUGCUACCGCUUGCUCCAAACACGGUGUUAGCAACAAGUGGCGGCACCCAUGCAAAGCGCCGCGCCGCCGUACAGUUAGUAGGGAAGUCAAACGCCAUCACAAGCUCGGCGCUGGGGCUCGCGUACGGCAUCCAGAGCUGGAACGAGUCCGGGACCGAGCCUGCAGCCGUGAAUAGUUGGAGGAAUUAUCACUUGGCACAAAGGCGCAGCGCUUGCAUCCCUGCCCGAGCUUGCCAACAGUGCCCUACCUGUGAAGGAGACAUCCACAGAACCUCCUGUGGGAAGCACUGACCAAAACGCCGCAAGUCGCCGCUUGCAGGAUGCGGAUCCCAGGCACCAGCCCUGUGGGGCGAUAUGGCAACGGGGCAGCAGAAACAUGUUUAUGGUGUGACCCUCUGCCAAGUGCGCCUGCGCGUGGACAAAUCCGAUCCCUAUCCCCCUGAACAAGCACACACACGCCCCCACCUGGUCCAUGGCCGGCACCACCACAUCCACAGAGCCCGACACGUUGAACGCCACCGCCUCCGGGCCGCGGACCUGUGGAAACAAGUAGGGGCAGUCAGUGGCAGCCACCGCAUAGUAUUAUCAUAAUAUUAUGCCCAAAGCGCAAUACGGUACGGUAUCGGUAACGUGCUUCAUGACCUUCUCACCCUACUACGGUAUGCUACCCUUGCUUGCUGGCUGGCUUACCUCGGCAUCCGUGUCACGGCUCGCCAACACAAACAGCUGUGGGUCGAAGACACCAGUAGCCCCACUGCCAGCAGGGCCGCCGGCGCACACGUAGGUGCCGAGGUCACCGCGAUAGAUGCAGCCACUGCCCGAAGGCAUCGCCGGCGCCUGUGCCAGCGGCUGAGGUCGCGGGCCAUCUGGUAACGCGCCCAGCACUGUGACCGGGCCGCCCGCAGGCGAAACCCCCAGAGAACCGUCCAGGUCGUUGAACAAGGCCCGUGAAGGUCCCGCGCAGUUGAGGGGCAGGGGCGUUGCGCCGGCAGUGUAGUUGGCAGUGCCGCAGUCGAGCGGGUUCCGCCA